CCGACAUUAGCUCAGUUGGUACAGCGGAGGACUGUAGUUCGUUGCAGAUUAACCCUUAGGUCGCUGGUUCGAUUCCGGCAGGUCGGA
rnacentral:tRNA from 1 species